UGCGUAACGGCGUGGGAAUCUGCCUUUAGGUUCGGAAUAACACUUAGAAAGGGGUGCUAAUACCGGAUGAUGUCUUCGGACCAAAGAUUUAUCGCCCUUAGAUGGGCCCGCGUUGGAUUAGCUAGUUGGUGAGGUAAAGGCCUACCAAGGCGACGAUCCAUAGCUGGUCUGAGAGGAUGAUCAGCCACACUGGGACUGAGACACGGCCCAGACUCCUACGGGAGGCAGCAGUGGGGAAUAUGGACAAUGGCGAAAGCCUGAUCCAG
rnacentral:rRNA from 1 species